rnacentral:tRNA from 1 species
GGAGGGAUGGGUGAGUGGCUGAAACCAACAGUUUGCUAAACUGUCGAACCAGUAAUGGUUCCGGGGGUUCGAAUCCCCCUUCCUCCG